CCUACGGGAGGCAGCAGUGGGGAAUAUUGCACAAUGGGCGAAAGCCUGAUGCAGCAACGCCGCGUGAGCGAAGAAGGACUUCGGGUCGUAAAGCUCUGUCCUCAAGGAAGAUAAUGACGGUACUUGAGGAAGAAGCCCCGGCUAACUACGUGCCAGCAGCCGCGGUAAUACGUAGGGGGCUAGCGUUAUCCGGAAUUACUGGGCGAAAAGGGAGCGUAGGUGGGUGCUUAAGUCAGAGGUGAAAGGCUCCGGCUCAAUCGUAGUAAGCCUUGGAAACUGGGGAAAUUGAGUGCAGGAGAGGUGAGUGGAAUUCCUAGUGUAGCGGUGAAAUGCGUAGAUAUUAGGAGGAACACCAGUUGCGAAGGCGGCUCUCUGGACUGUAACUGACACUGAGGCUCGAAAGCGUGGGGAGCAAACAGGAUUAGAUACCCUGGUAGUC
rnacentral:rRNA from 1 species